UAGGGAAUCUUCGGCAAUGGACGAAAGUCUGACCGAGCAACGCCGCGUGAGUGAAGAAGGUUUUCGGAUCGUAAAACUCUGUUGUUAGAGAAGAACAAGGACGUUAGUAACUGAACGUCCCCUGACGGUAUCUAACCAGAAAGCCACGGCUAACUACGUGCCAGCAGCCGCGGUAAUACGUAGGUGGCAAGCGUUGUCCGGAUUUAUUGGGCGUAAAGCGAGCGCAGGCGGUUUCUUAAGUCUGAUGUGAAAGCCCCCGGCUCAACCGGGGAGGGUCAUUGGAAACUGGGAGACUUGAGUGCAGAAGAGGAGAGCGGAAUUCCAUGUGUAGCGGUGAAAUGCGUAGAUAUAUGGAGGAAAACCAGUGGCGAAGGCGGCUCUCUGGUCUGUAACUGACGCUGAGGCUCGAAAGCGUGGGGAGCAAACAGG
rnacentral:rRNA from 1 species